rnacentral:rRNA from 1 species
UUUAGGACUGCGGAGAUCUUACUAGAGUUGUAGGCUUUGCCUGCUAUCUCUUACCCAUGUCUUUUGAGUACCUUACGUUUCCUCGGUGGGUUCGCCCACCGAUUGGACAAAUUUAAACCCUUUGCAGUUGAAAUCAGCGUCUGAAAAAACUUAAUAGUUACAACUUUCAACAACGGAUCUCUUGGUUCUGGCAUCGAUGAAGAACGCAGCGAAAUGCGAUAAGUAGUGUGAAUUGCAGAAUUCAGUGAAUCAUCGAAUCUUUGAACGCACAUUGCGCCCCUUGGUAUUCCAUGGGGCAUGCCUGUUCGAGCGUCAUUUGUACCUUCAAGCUCUGCUUGGUGUUGGGUGUUUGUCUCCUGUAGACUCGCCUUAAAACAAUUGGCAGCCGGCGUAUUGAUUUCGGAGCGCAGUACAUCUCGCGCUUUGCACUCAUAACGACGACAUCCAAAAGUACAUUUUUACACUCUUGACCUCGGAUCAGGUAGGGAUACCCGCUGAACUUAAGCAUAUCAAAANCCCGGAGGAA